GUCACAGAGGAAAGCUGCUGAUACUCAACUCUGUGGUGGUUAAUUUUGAGAGAGAGAGAGAAAGGAGCAUGUGCUGUGGAUCUGGAAUAUUCCAAAGACAUCUGUGCAGGCACAGAAGGAACUCAUUGGUAUCAAUUUACACCAAUUGAAUACCACUUGAAGAAUCGCAGUUACAGGGCAAUUCAAGAAGCCCCCAGACACUCUUGGAUCAGAUCAUAUGCCACAGAAGUCACUAAAGUUUGCUUUAUUAUGGAUUAAAAAUGCUUAAAUGUGAAAAAAAAUGCUUGAUGCCAGUUUGCUGUAACAAAAGAAGGAAGCGCCAAAGUAGAAGAAGAUUGAGAGCAGAAGACUGAAGCCUCACUGGAAACCUAAACCUCCAUUGAAAAUUACAGUUGUUUUGAGAAAACUCGGAUGGAUCUCAUGAGACUCUAAAUAUUCCCAUCCACUCAACCAAGCAGCCAUUUUGCAUGCAAGUAUGAAAAGAGAGGGUGCUGCAUCUCUUUUAAGAUGGACUGUGUUGGGAGAUUUUCUUCCUUUUUUCCUUCAAGGUAGCAAACUGUGGGCGAGGAGCAGAAUGUGUGGCUCCUGGGGAAGGAAUGAAAGAAGGAGGAACUUUGCCUACACACUGAAGGGCUACUGCACUCCCAAAACAGAUGGUGCUGUGCAGCACUCUCUAGUUCAAGGGGUAGCCUUUCAUUUUCCUCCUUUGCAGUCCCUCUCAAAACUGGAAACAUGAAAACAUACGCACGGACCUAAGAGCAACCUGGUUCAGACCAUCUCCAAACCAUCUAACUUGUACAUCAAUUAUAGUUGGAUACAGGCCCAAUCAGAUGUUACUUGUACAUCCCUGCUUGUAACUAGUCCCAAGCUCUAUAAAAGCACAGACCUCCCCCCAAAUCACCAUUCCCUUUCAAGCUCUCCCCUCCAUAAUAUACAUGUGAAUACUGGCUACUGAAAAAGCCAGAUCCCAUUGAAUCUCAGAAGAGAUGAAGCUCAAGCAGUUGUUUUGUUCAAAAUAAAAUAA